rnacentral:rRNA from 1 species
CCUACGGGAGGCUGCAGUGGGGAAUAUUGGACAAUGGGCGAAAGCCUGAUCCAGCCGUGCCGCGUAUGUGAAGAAGGCCUUCGGGUUGUAAAGCACUUUCAGUGGGGAAGAAAGCCUUGGGGCUAAUACCCUCGAGGAAGGACAUCACCCACAGAAGAAGCACCGGCUAACUCCGUGCCAGCAGCCGCGGUAAUACGGAGGGUGCGAGCGUUAAUCGGAAUUACUGGGCGUAAAGCGCUCGUAGGCGGUCUGAUAAGCCGGUUGUGAAAGCCCCGGGCUCAACCUGGGAACGGCAUCCGGAACUGUCAGGCUAGAGUGCAGGAGAGGAAGGUAGAAUUCCCGGUGUAGCGGUGAAAUGCGUAGAGAUCGGGAGGAAUACCAGUGGCGAAGGCGGCCUUCUGGACUGACACUGACGCUGAGGUGCGAAAGCGUGGGUAGCAAACAGGAUUAGAUACCCUGGUAGUC